CAUAAUAAAAUACAGUUUGCCAUGCCUUCCAAACAGUAAAUUCCCUCUAACUGGUAAUGUUACUCUAUGUCAAAUAGGCGAGUUCAUGUUGAAACAUAUGAAUCCGAAAAUUUCGUACCAUGAAUACUUAUUUGAAUCAAGUAUAUCAAAUAGUAACAGUAUGGCAUAGUAUACAUGCACUGUUAAAUAAUAUGGGGAUAAAAGUCGCUCUAAAUUGUAGCAACAUAAACUCACCUUAUAACAUAUGGUUAGCUUUCAUAUUUGAGCAACGCACUCACACCUGUGUGUUUCACUGUGCACAACAUUUUCUCAACAGUUUGGCAAAUUGUAGCGCUCAUUAGUAGUAGUGAGCGGCAUAAUUGACAACAAACCGCACUUCUUUCUUAUCGGGCAGCAGCAGACGACCAAUUUAAUGUAAAAUAGUUUCUACAAAAUCCGGCCUAAUCAGCUCCGAAUUAGGAAUCUUCGUGAAAGCGCAGAGAGGAUUUGCCGGAGCGAAAACCUGGAUCACAAGCUUAGGUCCUCGAAGGAAAAUGCCACACAUCGGCUGGAAGAACUCAAAAUGUGCUGCAGACGUACCAGCAGGAUACAAGGCGAUUAGAAAUCCGCUCCCACCGCAGGAAGUUUUAAUCACCGCUACCGGGCGUACGAUAGGUAACCUCGCGAGUGGAGGAAUUUCAGCAGCCCUCGGAAUGGCCCGAGAUGCUUCUUCUUCAAUGCAGAUUGCGCUGCUCGAUAUGAUGCGAGGAGGUCUUACGAGAAAGGUAAACCAUCUUCUUCAUCCACAAAUAUAAUGACAAAUAUUGAUUGAAUAAAAAAAUAUCCGGUGAACGCACAA